AAUGGCCGAAAGGCUGAACCAGCAACGCCGCGUGAGGGAUGAAGGUCUAAGGAUUGUAAACCUCUGUUAGGAGGGACGAACAGUUCCGUAACGAACUUACGGGAUUUGACGGUACCUCCAGAGAAAGCCCCGGCUAACUCCGUGCCAGCAGCCGCGGUAAUACGGGGGGGGCAAGCGUUGUCCGGAAUUAUUGGGUGUAAAGGGUGCGUAGGCGGAAUGGUAAGUCAGAAGUGCAAUGCUCAUGCUUAACAUGGGCGCUGCUUUUGAUACUGCUGUUCUUGAGUGCAGAAAAGGGAAGUAGAAUUCUCGGUGUAGCGGUGAAAUGCGUAGAUAUCGAGAAGAAUACCAGUAGCGAAGGCGGCUUCCUGGUCUGUAACUGACGCUGAGGCACGAAAGUGUGGGUAGCAAA
rnacentral:rRNA from 1 species